rnacentral:rRNA from 1 species
AUUGAACGCUGGCGGCAUGCCUAACACAUGCAAGUCGAACGGUAACAGGGGCUUCGGCCCGCUGACGAGUGGCGGACGGGUGAGUAACGCGUAGGAAUCUUCCCAGUAGCGGGGGAUAGCUCGGCGAAAGCCGGAUUAAUACCGCAUACGCCCCACGGGGAAAGCAGGGGAUCGUGAGACCUUGCACUAUUGGAUGAGCCUACGUCUGAUUAGCUAGUUGGUAGGGUAAAAGCCUACCAAGGCGACGAUCAGUAGCUGGUCUGAGAGGACGAUCAGCCACACUGGGACUGAGACACGGCCCAGACUCCUACGGGAGGCAGCAGUGGGGAAUAUUGGACAAUGGGCGCAAGCCUGAUCCAGCAAUGCCGCGUGUGUGAAGAAGGCCUGCGGGUUGUAAAGCACUUUCAGCGGGGAAGAAAGCUUAGGGUCAAUACCUCUAAGUCUUGACGUCACCCGCAGAAGAAGCA